rnacentral:sRNA from 1 species
CUUUUAAGUGAAAAUAUCUUGACCCCCAACUUUUGGGGCCCUCAGCCAUGGGCAUUCCCUAGUUUCCAAACAAACAUGGUACCCGUCCCUCAUUCCACCCCCACCACCAGAAAACAGUUCUGUUUGGUUUAUAGGGAGGAAAAUGGUUAUUAUGGAAUUAGGUAUGCUAGUUAUUGAAUACUUGGAAUUAUAUUGUUUGCUUUUAAAAUUACCUUAAGGAAAUAACUGUCCGCUUCUAAUAAUGUUUAGUCGUUUAUUUGGUAAGUAAUUAAAGCACCAUCACUCUCCUGCCCUCGUCUUCAGGUGAUAAUCUAGACAUAGAGGGAGUGAGCCAACAAGUUGCUGUUAGAGUUAACUUGUUCCCUAACCCAUCUUGUGAAUAUCAAUGCUAACAACAGUGUCUUGUGUUUUUUUUUCUUUUCUUUUCUUUUUCUUUAAAUCAAUGUGCUUUUUUCCUAUGUGAAUAACUAUAUGUCUAGAAACAGCCAUGGAGUGAUUUUGCUGUUCUGAAUGGGGGAAAGAUUAAUAGUGACAUUUGGAAGGCAAGUAUAUUGUCAGAUCUUAGAUCAUUUAAUAUUUUAUCCUUUCUGCAUGGCUGUGGCUGUAUAUUUUUCUUCUUUGUGAAUAUCAUGCAUUCUGCAGGGACACAGUGAUCGGGCUUCUUGCUAGGGGCAUUCAGCUCACACUCCUGUUGCCUUUUUUUGGUGUCUCCCAUUGUGAAUGCCCUAGGUUCCCCGUUGUUUUGUAAGAACAGGAGUUUGCACCAGUCAGCAUUCAACAGUCCUUGCAUGCCUUUCUCUGCCUAAGCUCACGUACACUCUCUGCCUCUUGCUGGGAAGACGUUUCUCCCCUUUGAUAUUUGAGGCAAUGAAUGGACUCCUCCCCCAUUGUACAUUAACAAGGUUCUAUUUUCCUCUAGGAUUUGCAUGCAGCCACUGUUAACCCGGACCCCAGUUUAAAAGAGUUUGAAGGAGCAACCCUACGCUAUGCAUCUUUGAAACUCAGAAAUGCCCCACACCCUGAUGAUGAUGAUUCUUGUAGUAUCAACAGUGACCCAGAAGCCAAGUGUUUUGCUGUGCGUUCUCUGGGAUGGGUAGAGAUGGCAGAAGAGGACCUCGCCCCCGGUAAAAGUAGUGUUGCGGUCAACAACUGCAUCAGGCAACUUUCCUACUGCAAAAAUGACAUCCGAGACACGGUCGGGAUUUGGGGAGAGGUAAGUGGCAUGUAGAAUGAUGCACGGCAGGCUGUUUACGUUCUCCUGCAUUUCAGGAAGCCCCACAGCUCAGUGACACAUGGUACUGAGGGGCUCCGGGGCGUUCAUCAGGUGCCUUUUCCCAUUAAUGCAGGAAGUGUAGGCAUGGUGCCCCCGUGUGACUGAUCCCUUAGCACUGCCAGAUGCCAGUGAGGACUGGGGCCUGGAGAGAGAGCGUUUCUCAGUAGCUAAGUGACACAGAUUCAUGGGUGAGCUUUAGGGGCCCAGAACUCCUCUAAACAUGCCUGCAAAAUGGGAUGUGCCAGUGUAUAAGAGCAGUUUUGCAGACUGGAAGAAGGACCUGUAUUCUCAAAGGGGAAGGUGACUUCCACACGUCCACACAAAAAUGUUGAUGCCUCUGUUUUAAAAGUUGACAAAUUAUUCUUUUAUAACACUCUUCUUUACUUAGCAUCUGAAGAAUCAACAUUAUACAUGAAUUGUGGAAUUGAUAUUUAUAUACUUCUCCCUUUUAACAGAGUGAUUCCAUUUUGAAAUGUUAGUUGAGAUAAUUUCAGAAAGGAAAAAAUAAGUACAGAUACCAAAUGUGUAUGAAACUCACAUCAAACCGGAAAAGCUGUAUUCCUGGUGUGCUCUGAGACCUGUGGAAAAAGCAUUUUGGGAGCAUCUUGGAAUAGUGUUUGCUACAUGAAUAGAUAGAUGUUGUUCUCUCUGCUUCUAGUGAACAGAGCAGUGGUAGAAAAGUUUGCUUUUUGGUUGGGCUGAUUGGGACUCCACUCACAUUUUCUCCUAGCAGCACGUCCCAAUGGGAGGUAGGUUUCCAAGCCUUUCCAUGGUGGAGUUUGUCUCCUUAAAGUGGAGCUGAAUCACUGCA